CCCUUAGACGUUCUGGGCCGCACGCGCGCUACACUGACCAGUGCAACAAGCAUCCGUCCUUGGCCGACAGGCCCGGGUAAUCUUUGAACGCUGGUCGUGAUGGGGAUAGACUUUUGCAAUUUUUGGUCUUCAACGAGGAAUUCCUAGUAAACGCAAGUCAUCAACUUGCAUUGAUUACGUCCCUGCCCUUUGUACACACCGCCCGUCGCACCUACCGAUUGAAUGGUCCGGUGAAGCCUCCGGAUUGGCGCGCACCUCGGUGCCGCCGAGAAGUUGGCUAAACCUUACCAUUUAGAGGAAGGUGAAGUCGUAACA
rnacentral:rRNA from 1 species